UACGGAGGGGGCUAGCGUUGUUCGGAAUUACUGGGCGUAAAGCGCACGUAGGCGGCUUUGUAAGUUAGAGGUGAAAGCCCGGGGCUCAACUCCGGAAUUGCCUUUAAGACUGCAUCGCUCGAAUUGUGGAGAGGUAAGUGGAAUUCCGAGUGUAGAGGUGAGAUUCGUAGAUAUUCGGAAGAACACCAGUGGCAGAGGCGACUUACUGGACACAUAUUGACGCUGAGGUGCGAAAGCGUGGGGAGCAAACAGG
rnacentral:rRNA from 1 species